rnacentral:pre_miRNA from 1 species
AAAUCGUCCCCUAAGUUUUGCAACCGUAGCAGUUUUGGCCCCCAAGGCCAAAAUAAAUAAAUAAAUAAAUAAAUAGCAUGUGGCACCCCUAAGAGGCACCUCACUUAGGGUGCCACGUCAGCGUAGACCGAAUCAAAAUUGGCCUUGGGUGCCAAAACUGCAACAGGUGCUAAACUUAUGGGGGACGAUUU